ensembl:lncRNA
CCAACAUUUUCCCUGCCACUCAGCAGCAGUGGGCAGCCAUGGCGGCCUACAUGCCGACCCAGACGGUAGGCGUGGGGGGCCACGCCAUCCCAGCUGCCAUGCUUCAAGGCCUGGUACCUAUAACCACCAUGUGCCCCCAAGCCUGCGACCUAUCAGCCCCCUCCUCAGCCAUCACCAGCCCCCAGCACACGGCUGACCCCACCAUGCUCCAGAGGCAGCUUAGCCUGGGAAAAGAAGGCCUCAGCAUGGACUCGGAUGCUGGUGAGGGCCCCUCUACAUCAGGAGCAGUGGGGGUGGGACCUUGUUGUAUGUCAGCAGCGGUGAGCAGGUGUGGGACCCCUGGCCUCAUGACUGUACCAGACACACUGGCCUGUAGUCAGCUGCUGCCGCCUCCAGCUGCUGUGACACAGGAAGAAGAAGGCAGCUGUAGUGACCUUGAUCUUUCUAGGAUGACCCUGAGCCCAGGUACAUCCACGUCCCCGUCUACUGAAUCUCCUUCCACCCCUGCCCCUCAGCAAAGCUCGUCCUCAGACUGCCCCCCCUCCCAGGCCAGUGACCCCCCCACAGACCACUCCCCUGUUGACCCAGAGGGCAACGCCAGCAGCACCAAGGAGGAGCAGUCGGUGAGUGUCGACCCCCCUGAGGUCACAUAUCAGUCAAUAAGAUUCAUGGAUUUGAUUUAACAGCUGACUAGCAUGGUGCUAUCAUCCAUUAUUGUCAUAUGGAUGAUCUGUUCUCAACUAUGUUACAUGUAAU